UACGAAGGGGGCUAGCGUUGCUCGGAAUUACUGGGCGUAAAGGGCGCGUAGGCGGAUAUCUAAGUUGGGGGUGAAAUCCCGGGGCUCAACCUCGGAAUUGCCUUCAAAACUGGAUAUCUUGAGUUCGGGAGAGGUGAGUGGAAUUCCACGUGUAGCAGUGAAAUGCGUAGAGAUGUGGAGGAACACCGAUGGCGAAGGCAGCCCCCUGGGUCAAGACUGACGCUCAUGCACGAAAGCGUGGGGAGCAAACAGG
rnacentral:rRNA from 1 species